UCCAUUUUGUUCCCACUGAUCCCUUGUUUAUCUCACUGGGAAUGCAGCCGCGGUGGAAGACGGGGCCAAGGGAAAGGCCAGAGCCUGGGUCCGUCUCCAGCCUCACUCGCCCUCCUCCCUCACCUGGUCCCUGAGCUGAGAACCAGGGCCCGGCCUGAGAACCCCCAGGGUAGCACCUGGAGGCCGGGUCUGCACCGUGCCCUGACACUGACAGGCUGUGUGACGACAGCUGACAGCUAACCUCUGGUUUUACUUUCUAUCACCCCGUUAAAGGCAGAGCAGUGGGCGCACGUGCUAUGGCUUGAAGCAGGCCUGUCUGAAUUCUUAGCAGCGAUCUCCAAGGGCACCAUAACCUUGCAAGAAAGAGACUGCCAGGCCUGCAUCUCUUUCUGAUGCAGAAACCAGGGCCCGGAGAAGGGGCUGGAGCAUCUUGGACGGAGAAACCUCGGCAAAGACAAAAGGCCCAUUGUCCCCCUUCCCCGGCCUUCUGCCAGCUCCCUCCCCAGUCACCAGACGAGGCCAGCCCUGCCCACAGCCCCCAGAGGCUGCCACGCGCCAAUAUGGGGUGACUCAGUGCCCCCUCCCUUCCCAUUGGUUGAUGAUGCCUGGAAUCCCACCAUCAGAGCUUUGUAAGGUUGCUGUGGGAUGGGUGGGGGUGAGGCAGAAAAAGACAAGAAGGUGGUGGGGGCCUCUGGCUUGUGGAUUUCAUAAUCACACCUUUACGGUGGGCUUGGGUGGGAGAUCAGGCAACACUAAAUAAUAAAAACACCAAAUUUCACACUUGC